GACGAGGGAUCCUAGCGUUGUUCGGAAUCAUUGGGCGUAAAGAGUAUGUAGGCGGCCUUGUAAGUCAGUUGUGAAAGCCCCGGGCUCAACCCGGGAAGUGCAAUUGAUACUGCUUGGCUUGAAUGUGGAAGAGGGCAGUAGAAUUCCAGGUGUAGUGGUGAAAUACGUAGAUAUCUGGAGGAAUACCGGUGGCGAAGGCGGCUGCCUGGUCCUACAUUGACGCUGAGAUACGAAAGCGUGGGGAGCAAACAGGAUUAGAAACCCCCGUAGUCC
rnacentral:rRNA from 1 species